rnacentral:lncRNA from 1 species
GGGCAGGGACCGAACCCGCAACCUCAUGGUUCCUAGUCAGAUUCGUUAACCACUGCGCCACGAUGGGAACUCCCCCAACACCCUCUUUCAAAUGCAACAUCAAACCGACUAAUUUUCAUUGAGCACUAUUUCGUAUAUACUCUUUGCCAUGAGGGAUAGAGAAUACAGAAAAAAAUAUCCCAUGAUCUCCAUCAUCAAGAAUUCUGUUUUGUUAUGUGUGGAUCUGCUGUCUACCACAGGGAAUGAGACCCAGAGUUCUGUGAUAAUCUAUAUGGGAAAGAAUCUGUAAAAGAAUGGAUGUGUGUAUAUGUCUAACUGAAUCACUUUGCUGUGCAGCAGAAAUUAUCACAACAUUGUAAAUCAUCUAUACUUCAAUAAAACUUUAAGAAAUAAAGAAAUUCUGUAUUCAUUUUGAAGAAGUGGUAUGUUUGUUGGUAUAAGCAUUUUAGAGAAGUACCUUAUCCACAGCAUUAGUUUAAUAAUAAAGGCAGAGAAACCGAGAAUCUGAGAAGUUAGUACUUGCCACAACUUACACAAGUGGGAAGUGACAGAGGUGGAAUUCAGAUUUGUCUGUCUGGGUGAAGAGGUCAUGCUCUUUCUUCAUGCUAAAUCGGCUGGGGAAAAAAAAUGAUCACAUGUGAAGUAGCAUUGAAUCCAUAUGUGAUGAUGACUUCAAUUGUGAGUGUAGUCUCUAGUUGCUCUGGAAGAUCCCAGCGAGGGUUAAAUCAACCUAGAAGGCUUCCUUCAUGGAGGAGAUGAGAACUGAACUAUAUUUUGAAGUAGAGUAGGAUGAAAAUACACACAUAUAAAUGAAAUAUCAGAAAAGGAGUUCGUGUAAAUGCAUGUAAAUAAAUAUUGGCUAUUUGUGUAGUUCAAAUGUGGAAACUAAUAAAAAGAUUUUGUCAGCUUGUAAUAGAAAAGCUCUUUUAGCAAUAGCUGAGAAAUGAAAUUGGAUAGGACAUAAUUGUAGUAGCUACAUUGAUUGAUCAUGUACUACUUAUGGGUAUAGUUAAGUACUUUAAAUAUUUUAACCCGUCCAAUUUGCAGAACAACUAUAACAGAGGGCUAUUAUAAUUAUUUGGGUUUAUGUAUGAGAAAAUGGUUGUGCAGAGAGGUGAAGAAUCAUGUAAUUUGUGAAACUGGCUCACCGUAUUUUUCUUAAAGUGUACCUGCACUGUGCUUCUUGAGAAUUCUUGGACUAUUGCAUAGGGUUUUUCUAAGCAGGAUCCUCGGAGACUGCCAGGCACCCAGUUAGGGAAAGGACAUGCAUUAUUUAAAGCAGUUUCAGUGCAGUGCUUCCUCCAAUAAAGGUAGAUUGACAUUUUGUCUGGUAGGUUCUUCUCUCAUCAGGUGGAAUGAUAGAAAGACAAGUUCUUAUCUCUGAAGAACUUGGAAGUUUGGGGGCUCUGAGUGGUCUGAGUUCAUCCUUCUGGGUGAACCUCUGUCCAGUGGCCAUUGUUCAAGAUCUCAAACACAGAUGCCUGCCAUCAGGGCCAGUGGCACUCUGGCCUAUGGAAGAUCACAGACCCCAGGUAAAGGGGCUGUUCUAGGGCAGCUGUGGACACACAGGAAAGCGGGGCCAGGCACCUGAUUUUUUGAUUUUUAAAAAAAAUUUUUGGCCACACCCAUAACACGCCAAAGUUCCCAGGCCAGGCAUUGAAUUACAGCAGUGAAAAAGCCAAAUACUCAACCUCUAGGCCACCAGGGAACUCCAAUUUUUUUUUCUUUUUAUUCAAGUGAGAAACAGCAUAGCUGUAGGUUUAAACUAUUUCCCUUUACGAAGGAGCUGAUUGGCUUGGUUAAUAUCUAAAGUUUCUCUGUCAUCCUGAGCAAGGGGGCAAGUAGAGACAGAGACAACUUGUGAUAAGUGCUCUAGAUGCCUGGAAAGCCAGAAUACUCAUAGUAUGAGGGAUACAAAGAUAUAAAAGUCAUCUGUAUGUGGUAGAAGUUUACAGAUAGUUUAAAGCAUAAAGCAUACCAAAAGUCCAUAGUUAAAAAUAUUAACAAAUGCCAUUUGAUGAACCAGAUUUGUCCUCCCACAUGUACUAGCAAAAACCAGACAAAAUAUAGGAAACACCUGCUUUCAAGACCCUAGACAUCAGCCACCAAAGAAUAUGGACCAUAAAAGUCUGCGAACAAAUUAGAUGAGCCUUGAAAUGUCUUUAGUUUUAGUGCCUUGAGAGUUCCAAGUCUUGAUGCAUGGAGAGGAAACUCUGGUGGAGCCCAGUGUAUCUUUCUAUGCUAGAGAGAGAGCUGAGAGUCCAGGCGGACAAUGGCUAGAGACUGAGGGACACAGUGCUGGCAAAGAGAGGGCUUCACAUAAAGGGGGAAUCACAGUCAUCUGCAGAGAAUCUCCCUUAGGGCAUCAGCUAAGAAUUAAGUAGCAGAUAUUUGUGAGGAAACUACCUGAGGCCAGGAAAAGAAAGAUCUAAAAAAGAUAGAGGAAACAGUGCCUGAUACUCACACAGAGCUGGAAAUAUGCUUGUUCCCAGCAGCCACAUGCCUGAGAGAAUGACUCCAGUUAAAAAGACUGGCCGAGCCAGUGUCACUGUGAGUAACUGGAACCCCCAUGUUCUGCUGGUAGGAACACAAAAGGGGGCCACCGUUUUGUAAUGCAGUGUGUUAGGGUCUUAAGAAGCCAAACACGUUUCUACUUAUGACCUUGCUGUAUUUAUGUAGAUAAAUAUUUACCCAAGAGACAUGGAAACAUAUAUCCAUACAAACGUGUACAUAAACAUGCAUAACAAUUUUAAUAGAAAGUGCAGAACCUGGGGACGCAUUGAAUGGUCAUCAACAAGUAAAUGAAUAAACAAAUUUUGAUACGUCCUUACAGUGGAUUACUAAGCAAUACAAGGAAAUGGACCAGUGAUAUAUUCUAUAACAUGAGAGAAUGUCACAAUAAUUAUACUGAGGAAAGGAGCCAGGUUAAAAAUGUGUGUAGUACAUGACUCAAUUCGUAUAAAAUUCUUGGAAAUGAAACUAAUGCAUAGUGAUGGAGAUCAGAUCACUGCCUCUCUGGGGAAAGGGCGGGAUGUGCAUUGGCCAGGCAAUAUAGGAAGGAGAGAUUACAUAAAAGAUGAGGACCUUUUAGAGAUGACAGAUUUGUUCAUUGUCUUGAUUGUGGUUAUGGUUUCACAACUGUGUACAUUUGCCAAAACUUCUCAAGUACUACAACUUAGAUAUGUGCGUUUUGUUAUGUCAGUUAUCUCUCAAAAAGCUAAAAAAGGAUUAUUAGUGAAGGGUAUUUGGCCAAUAAAGGUAGACACAUACAUGCAGGAGUUAUUUAGAAGAGUGUGAGAGAAAGAGUGAAUGUAAAUCACUUCCAGCCAAGGAAAGCUGUACGAAGGAGGUGAGAGACGUGUUAGGACUAAAAAAAUAAACAUUUUGGUAGAUAGAUGAAAGAGGAAUGGGGAUGUGUUCAAUAUACGUAGGGUCAUAAGAGUGGAGAAGAUAAUGGAAUUGUCACAGGUGGAAUAGCUGUGAUCUCAACUAGAGUGUUCCCAACUCAUAGUAAAGAGAAGUGGACAGUGUGGGAAGAUGGGUUGGAACUUUUGAAUGACAGGCUCAGAAGCUUUUAUCAGAAUGAAUAAGCCCUCUGAGGAAAGGCACUUGCUGCCAGAAAAACAGAGGACCCCAAACCAAGUCUUCAGAAGAACUUGGGUUAAGUGAAUUCAUGGAAACAUGUUAUAAAGUUUUUUUUUAAAGUAGAAGAUAUGGAGGAGCAGGCAGUCGUCAUAGUAUUAUAUAGGCCAUUUGGUAAAAAAGCUUCUGAAACAAGGAUACAGUUUUCAAAUGUGGAAAGAAAAGCUCUAGAGAAGAAGAUGAAUGAAAGGGCCAUGGCUUUAGCAAUGAGAAGAUGUUAGUUUCUUAAAUAAACAUAAUGAAUCGCUCUCUAUUAAAAACUGUGUUGAACAUAUCCCAUUAUCAAGAGAUUUAUCACAGAGAAAAACUGCCUUGUUGAGGUUGCUAAUUCUAUAAGGGCAGUUUGUGGAGGGCAAGUUUAGCCUGACAUGUUUUUUCCCCAGAAAAUAUUGGCUUACUUUGGGAACUGCUGUGGGUAUCCAGAAACUCUGAGAACUCCUAGAACCAAAGUAUUGUUAACAUCGUGAUCCAGAAUUUGGCAACUUUAAACUUCAAGAUGAGAACUAUCUUGGAGACUUUAAAAUUGGAAAGGACCCACACUUCCCCUUUUGGGUUUCAGUGGGGUACAGGUGAGUCUGAAGAACCUGAUAAAUCAAAUGUCAUUUAGGCCACUGUGUUCUCUGGGUACAAAUUAGUUAGGCUGCUGUGUCACAUUCUUAUUUCAUAGCAGAACAACCCGCUGUCGAAUAAAUGAGUUAGCAUUGCAUUAUGAGCAACAUGUGAGCAGAAGGGUUGCAGAGUCGUGUUGGUAUGUGAGGCAAGGAUACAGAGCUGAAGUGGCAGACAUUACCAGCAGCAUAUUAAAGGUUCUGUCUGAUAAAAUUUACCGUGGUGUUUUCAGAUAAACUGUUUGUCCAGGACACAUGGAGAAUGACAAGAGCGUGAAUAUCAUCUCAGAAUAUGGGUCGUGAUAUGUGCUCGGCUAUCAAAAAGCAGUUUAUGUAAAAAUAAGCCAUAUUUUUCUAUAGUUUCAAGGAAAGAGAGAUAAAAUAGCUUAUAAAGGGAAUGAAGAUGUUGAUCCCAGACAGCCAGUCUUUUCAGCAGAAGUGAAAACACCAGCUCCAGAAGCAGUAGAACAAACUUGCCAAUUUUCUUUUCUAUUUGUAAAAUUCCUUGGACAUUUACAGGGAUUUUAUCAGAGGAUGAAUGGACUAGGCUUUCGGUUUCAUCUUCACAUCUCUAAUCAGGAGUGGGUAGCC